AGAAGGGGCUUCGGGUUGUAAAGCACUUCAACGAGGAAGAAUGCGUAGCGGUUAGUACGCGGUAGGAAAGACAUCACUCGCAGAAGAAGCACCGGCUAACUCCGUGCCAGCAGCCGCGGUAAUACGGAGGGUGCAAGCGUUAAUCGGAAUUAGUGGGAGUAAAGCGCGCGUAGGUGGCUUGAUAAGCCGGUUGUGAAAGCCCCGGGCUCAACCUGGGAACGGCAUCCGGAACUGUCAAGCUUGAGUGCAGGAGAGGAAGGUAGAAUUCCCGGUGUAGCGGUGAAAUGCGUAGAGAUCGGGAGGAAUACCAGUGGCGAAGGCGGCCUUCUGGACUGACACUGACACUGAGGUGCGAAAGCGUGGGUAGCAAACAGGAUUAGAUACCCUGGUAGUCCACGCCGUA
rnacentral:rRNA from 1 species